GGAUUAGAUCCCCUGGUAGUCCACGCUGUAAACGAUGUCGAUUUGGAGUUUGUUGCCUAGAGUGAUGGGCUCCGAAGCUAACGCGAUAAAUCGACCGCCUGGGGAGUACGGCCGCAAGGUUAAAACUCAAAUGAAUUGACGGGGGCCCGCACAAGCGGUGGAGCAUGUGGUUUAAUUCGAUGCAACGCGAAGAACCUUACCUGGUCUUGACAUCCAUAGAAUUCUGCAGAGAUGUGGGAGUGCCUUCGGGAACUAUGAGACAGGUGCUGCAUGGCUGUCGUCAGCUCGUGUUGUGAAAUGUUGGGUUAAGUCCCGCAACGAGCGCAACCCUUAUUCUUUGUUGCCAGCGACUUGGUCGGGAACUCAAAGGAGACUGCCGUUGAUAAAGCGGAGGAAGGUGGGGACGACGUCAAGUCAUCAUGGCCCUUACGACCAGGGCUACACACGUGCUACAAUGGCGUAUACAAAGGGAAGCGAAGGUGCGAGCUGGAGCGGAUCUCAUAAAGUACGUCUAAGUUCGGAUUGGAGUCUGCAACUCGACUCCAUGAAGUCGGAAUCGCUAGUAAUCGUAGAUCAGAAUGCUACGGUGAAUACGUUCCCGGGCCUUGUACACACCGCCCGUCACACCAUGGGAGUGGGUUGCACCAGAAGUAGAUAGCUUAACCGCGAGGGGGGCGUUUACCACGGUGUGAUUCAUGACUGGGGUGAAGUCGUAACAAGGUAACCA
rnacentral:rRNA from 1 species